AGUCGCCCGUCGGAGGAGGCGGAAGCGGCUGUGGGCGCUGGGCAGCGCUGGAGGCCGAAGGCGCCGGGAAGGAGCCCUCCAGGAGGACCAGCAGCCCCUCGCAAUGACCUCCUCCGACCACCACGGAGACCCCUUGGCAGCAGCUGAGCUGGAUCCCACCGAGGCCCACCUGGAAGAGCAGCCCAUCCAGAAAGAUGCCGACUGCAGCCCUGGGCAGCUGCCUCCGGUGCCUCCCGAGGAGGCCGGUUGCCCCAGGAGCUACUGCCAGGCCUGGCUCCUGGCCCCGCUGGAGGACGCCCGGUUCCUCAUCUGCUGCACCAACUGGUAUUAGCUGCUCUUGGACCGGGUAGCACACCAGGCUGCCUCGGAAGGGGCCGGCACCCCCUUUGAGGCUCCAAGACCCGUCUCCCAACAGGCUCCAGGUGUGCAGCUGUUAUUAAACCACGGGGAGCGUGACUGGCUUUACACACCGUAGGUUGUGCUUGUACAAUUUGCUUGGGUUGACUUAAGCAUAAUUCCCUAAUUCCCAGCCACAUUCUGACAGUGGAUGGUGUUGGCACUGUAUCCAACCUGGUUUUCUUCUUUUGAAUUGUAAGGGGCUGUGAUCAUUCAGCGCUUCCUGAAAUCGCCAGGUGGAGAUUCUUUCUGCUGCGUUUAAUUCUGACUCUAUUUCACUCUGCACUUAAGCCUGCUUAGCUUAGCUGAGUAAUAGAGAACCCAACUUCCUGGAUUCACACAUUGCGCUACGUGGGCUAUAAACUCCGAGCUGAUUUUGCACAAAACAAACAAAAAUGCGACUUAGCGUGUCUUAUGAAUUCAGCUGUGGUUAGGCUGGGAAAUAUAAGAAAGUGACAGGGCAAAUAUUUAAGGCACAUCUCCUCCAACGCUGGAGUUGUAGACGAAGGCUUUUUGCCCUGCAAAAGCACCGAUAGGAGAAUAACAGCCAGAGGAUUCUCUGUUUUCUCUCCGUGAGAAGAAUAUACUCCAUAAAUAUGCUCUAAGCUUUAUUCAGGACACUCUGAAGAAUUUGAGCCUUGCAUAAAAAGAUUUUUCUCCCUGCAUAUUUGUAAGUCUGAGUGGACAAUGACUUUAUCAUCACUGUUGUAAGAUCAACUCAGCAAUGUCAUAAAAUAUUUAAAAAGUGA